AGCGAACGCUGGCGGCAGGCUUAACACAUGCAAGUCGAGCGGGCGUAGCAAUACGUCAGCGGCAGACGGGUGAGUAACGCGUGGGAACAUACCUUUUGGUUCGGAACAACACAGGGAAACUUGUGCUAAUACCGGAUAAGCCCUUACGGGGAAAGAUUUAUCGCCGAAAGAUUGGCCCGCGUCUGAUUAGCUAGUUGGUGAGGUAAUGGCUCACCAAGGCGACGAUCAGUAGCNGGUCUGAGAGGAUGAUCAGCCACAUUGGGACUGAGACACGGCCCAAACUCCUACGGGAGGCAGCAGUGGGGAAUAUUGGACAAUGGGCGCAAGCCUGAUCCAGCCAUGCCGCGUGAGUGAUGAAGGCCCUAGGGUUGUAAAGCUCUUUUGUGCGGGAAGAUAAUGACGGUACC
rnacentral:rRNA from 1 species